rnacentral:lncRNA from 1 species
AAGUCACGUGAGAACCUGGGGACGCUAGGUUCCGGAACCUGACCUGAGCUGGGGCCUGUGCUUCCAGCGGGUGGUGGGGGGCCUGGUGUGCUGGCAUCAAGUAAGCCGACUACCUCGGCAAAGGCUUAGGGACAAGAGACCAGCAGCCUGAACUGGCUGGGGCAUCCGGAAGGCUUAGAUCUUGUGGCCAAGAGUUCAGACCGUGGCGAAGUGGAGAGUGACAUGCAGUUGGAUGGCGGUGACUGCGUGGUCCUGCAACCCUGGUUCCAGUCUGGCAAGCAUUGUAGACCUGGCUGCUGAAGACUGACGGGGCCCAGGGUCCGCUGCCCCCACCGCCAUCACCACCUCGGAACCCAGGGUAACGCUGUCAGUCUUUGAGCCUACGAGGAAACCAUUCGGAAGCUCCAGAACCCAGGCCCUAAUCACAACGCCCCUAUCCAGCAGGAAGCAGCCAGAUGAUCAACGACGCCCUUUUUCCUUUUUAUACUAAAGUAAGAAAUAAGAAUGUUAGCCCAAACUGCACUAUUUUGCAGACCCCUACCAUUUUACAAACUGGUCAGAGUGGAAAAUUCCACCAGGGCCUGAGCUGUGAGAAACAUCCUGUCAGGCAGGUCCCAGGCCUAACCCCUGGCUGCACUAAAUUCCUUCAUUAUCAGCAGCCAAACACACCGCCCCCACCCCAUUUUCACAACAAUCCCAGACCUCUCCUGCCCGGGACUGUAACUGGUCCAGCCUGUAAGCGGGAAGGGGGCUCUGGCACUAGCUGGUACCCCCUCUCCGCAGGUCUUUCUCCCAAUAAAUCUGUGUUGCCAUUGA